rnacentral:lncRNA from 1 species
GUGGGCCUUCUUCUCCUUGGCCAGGGGACCUCGCGCGUGGAAAGAGCUCCCAGACCGCGCUUCUGGAACUUCUCCACGCGGGAAUAAGCAGAAACUUUCCUCCUAAGGGAAGGUUUCAUUUAUUUAUUUAUUUUAGACCUUGAACUACAGGAGAAGGGGGAAAUUUUCUCAUUAAAGUUACAUCCCUGCAGUUAGUUCAAUUACUUGAUAUAUGCAGAAGAUGUUGUAAAUUUAUAGAUUUAAAUAGCUUACAAAGAUGCCGCAGGCCCCAUCAGUUAAUUUCCUUAAUUUAUGGAUUUUUGGCUGCUCCUAGAACAGAAAGGGGCCCUGGAAGUAGGUCAAGGAGCUGUACAGCGGUUCUAGCACAGCCCAUGGGCUGCCCACUCUGCUCCCCACGCCCUGGCACCCCCCGGGCUUCUGGCUCCCAGCUCAGGCCUGACAGCACUACUCUCUGCUCUCUAUAUUUUGGCCAAGCCAGGCCUGGGAGGUCUGCUUUCGUCCGUGGUGACUCCGUCUCCCCAGGGCUGCACUGCCAUGCCAAGAAGAGCAAAGCCUCCAUCUCCACCCGCCCCUCCCAGCACUGAGGGAAUGGAGCCAGAAGCAAGGGUCCCAACUACUCUGACCUCCUGUGUCCCCCCUAAAAUGGUAGCUGGGAUCCCAAGUGGAGAAGGCCAUGUCUGGAUGCCUCAGGCUUCUUCGGGAUGAAGUUUCUAAGAUUUGCAAGGUACAUGUCAAGGACGGGUGUAUAAAUGGAUUUUUAUUUAUUCACAACUCCAAGACUAAUUGCUUCUCUUUGCCUCAAGGCCACGAGAUGGGUUUUAAUAUGACACUUCAAAAGUAUUCAUGGAACUACAGAGAUACGAAGUGUCAUUGUUUAAGAGACAAAUCUCGCUGUGGUACUGGUGACCCUGCAAAUAGGAUGUUCCAUUUCAUUUUCAAAUCCUCGAUGUUUUUCUAAGAGUUUCACUCUAUACCAACUGUAUUAAAAAUGCACAAUUUCAUUGAAACAAGACCUGACCAUUCUCAAAGACCUUUUAUUUCCUGAAUAUUGCUGGAAACUUUGUUUUCCUAUUCCUGAAACCUUUUAUUAAAGAGCUGAACUUUAUACAUGUCAUUAAGAAGAGUAAGUUUGGGCCAUAAUUUAUCCUCAAGUGUUUUAAAAGUUCCCGGCUAAAUGUCAACCAUCUUUUACACUGAGGGACUCGGAUAUGAGCUGUGAUAGGCAUGUAAUGAUCGGUGGUAUAUAUUGCAGUGCUGAGGCUUUUUGUUUUUUAAUUGAAAGUGGAUAAUUAGGACUGAAGACAUACUGAAACAUCCUGUGAAAAUACAUCUUGUUUCAUUACUAUAGUCCAAGAGACGAAAUUGGAUGUGGGUCUAAUCAGAAUGGCACUUGCUUUAUCAGUAGAUGUGAAUGGCACUGGAGCUAUUCCAGUCCGCCUAUCUUAUUUUUUAAGUUUUAUUGAGGUUUCAUUGACUUACAAGGUUGUGAUCAUUGCUGCUGUACGACAGAGUGAUUCAGUCAGAGCUGGACACAUCCGUUCUCUUUCGUUCCGCAUAUGUUAAAAAGCAGGUUCAAACCUGAGGUGGCUUGAGGGGUGCUCUGUGUGAACGCACCUGAAGCGAGUGACGGGUCAGGCCCUGCAUCCAGGUGCUGCGGGCAAGCGCUCAGUCUCUGGAUGUUUCAAAGGGAUUUCCAGUGCGACUUGGUACCUUGUUGUUGUGGCUGUUUGCAGACGGUAUUUCAAGAUGAAGACCUUAAUGAGAAAAGUAAAAUGAGCUCAAAAGGAGGGCCCAGAAUCUGCUGAACUCAACCUUCUCAGAAAGUCUGUGACCAGAGAGCAGGUGAGGAGUUCUCGCUGUGGCUCAGUGGAUGAAGAACCCGACUUGUCUUCGUGAGGACGUGGGUUGGAUCCUCAGCCUUGCUCAGUGGGUUAAGGAUCUGAUAUUGCCACAAGCUGUGGCACAGAUCGCAGAUGCGGCUCAGAUCUUUCAUCGCUGUGGCUGUGGUGUAGGCCUGCAGCUGCCGCUCUGAUUCAACCCCUAGCGCCUGUGAACUUCCAUAUGCCGCACGUGUGGUUCUAAAAAUUAAAAUUAAAAAUUAAAAUUAAAAAAAAAAUAGAUAGCAGACACACAGGCUGAGAGACAGCUGCCGGCCUCUGAGAGUGGGGAGUGUGGGGGGAGGGAGGCUGGGGUGUUAAGGCAGGGCCAUCUGCUCCCCGACCCCCCAGGCUCCCUGGGGUGAAAGCCAGACCCAGAGGUCUGAGCCCACCUCUAGACCCAGAGAUGCCCCUGAUCAGGCCAGGAUGGAGCCAGCCUGGCCCAGAGAUCAGUGUCUGACAUCUACUUGCCCUCUACCUCCACACCAGGAAUCCCCCCCAUUCUUCCCGCUAGGACCUCAGUGAACCUGGUGAAAUGGGAGACUGGCAGAGCCGGCCCCUGCAAACGGGCCUCCUCUGGCCUGUCAGUCAGGUGACAUGCUCCCUGGAGAGCAGAGGUCCAAACCUGAGGGAUAGGAGGUGGGGCGGAUCGCCCCUGCCGGUCCUUGAAGAGAAUAAAAUAAGACCAGCCAGCUCUCA